AACAGGUGCUGGACAUUGUCUUGGAGUGAAGGAACUGAAAAAAGAAAAUUCUGAGAACGUCAAUGUUUACGUUACAUUUGACCUGUUCGGCUUUGCUAAGUAAGCUAAGUUUAGACCAUUUCUUUACCGUAACAAAGCCUUUGUUAUGAACAGGGGGUUUUCCCUGGUGAAAAUCAAGUAAGAGACACUGGUUGGUAUAGAACAAUAAGUGAUUGCAUAUUUGCAAAUAAGCAGAAGUAAGUAUUACAAAAAAAAAAAAAAUACAACGAAUUCACAAAGUAUUGGAGAAAGGUUUGAAUUUCAUAGGAUGUGGACCUGUAAUUUUACCCAGUGUUAUCCAGAGCACAAGUAAAUAAGAUUCCAGACAAUGGAGCCAGAAGGCCUAAGUUAGAAUAUUUGCUUCUCCUACUAUUUUGCGUCCUUGGCCAAGUUACUUAACCUCUCUGCGCCUCACUUUCCUCAUUGUAAUGAUAGCGAUUAUAAAGUACCUGACUAAUAAAGUUGUAGGCAUUAAAUGAAUUAAUAGAUGCAAUGCUCUUAGAAUAAUGCCUGGCACAUACAAAGAGCUUUAAAUACAGGCUGAUAUUAUUAGGAAAGCCCCAGCUGACCUUCCAUCAGUAACUAUUCGUAUGAUGUAGAGUAUGCUGAGCAGCACAGACAUCUUGAAGUUCCCAAAGAAGAAGUCUGGAGACACCUGUGCACCAAACAGCGAUCGGAGCCUUUCGAAUGGUCAUGGAAGAAUUCCAAAAGUGUCCAGGAAGGUCCAUAUCAGUGAUUCAUGCCCUGCCCAGAAGACCACAGCAAGUUCAUGAUGAAUGAACGCAUGAAGCUUGUUGGCUGAGGAGCAAGCAAGGAGAACAGGGAGAGAGAAGAAAGUGAUAGCUUCUCACUAUAGUUAACCCAUUUCAUAUCCACUCCUUCAGACGACCUCUGGAAGACUGCCCUGCUAACAACUUCCAUAAGCUUCUCUUCACAUUUGCCUUUCCAUCUUUCUUUUCUUUCUUUUGGUGAAAUGAUUUUUGCUAUCCUUUACUAUCUGCCAAAAUGUUGCCUCC
rnacentral:lncRNA from 1 species